AGAGUUUGAUCCUGGCUCAGGACGAACGCUGGCGGCGUGCCUAAUACAUGCAAGUCGAGCGGACCGACGGGAGCUUGCUCCCUUAGGUCAGCGGCGGACGGGUGAGUAACACGUGGGUAACCUGCCUGUAAGACUGGGAUAACUCCGGGAAACCGGGGCUAAUACCGGAUGCUUGAUUGAACCGCAUGGUUCAAUCAUAAAAGGUGGCUUUUAGCUACCACUUACAGAUGGACCCGCGGCGCAUUAGCUAGUUGGUGAGGUAACGGCUCACCAAGGCGACGAUGCGUAGCCGACCUGAGAGGGUGAUCGGCCACACUGGGACUGAGACACGGCCCAGACUCCUACGGGAGGCAGCAGUAGGGAAUCUUCCGCAAUGGACGAAAGUCUGACGGAGCAACGCCGCGUGAGUGAUGAAGGUUUUCGGAUCGUAAAACUCUGUUGUUAGGGAAGAACAAGUACCGUUCGAAUAGGGCGGCACCUUGACGGUACCUAACCAGAAAGCCACGGCUAACUACGUGCCAGCAGCCGCGGUAAUACGUAGGUGGCAAGCGUUGUCCGGAAUUAUUGGGCGUAAAGCGCGCGCAGGCGGUUUCUUAAGUCUGAUGUGAAAGCCCCCGGCUCAACCGGGGAGGGUCAUUGGAAACUGGGGAACUUGAGUGCAGAAGAGGAGAGUGGAAUUCCACGUGUAGCGGUGAAAUGCGUAGAGAUGUGGAGGAACACCAGUGGCGAAGGCGACUCUCUGGUCUGUAACUGACGCUGAGGCGCGAAAGCGUGGGGAGCGAACAGGAUUAGAUACCCUGGUAGUCCACGCCGUAAACGAUGAGUGCUAAGUGUUAGAGGGUUUCCGCCCUUUAGUGCUGCAGCAAACGCAUUAAGCACUCCGCCUGGGGAGUACGGUCGCAAGACUGAAACUCAAAGGAAUUGACGGGGGCCCGCACAAGCGGUGGAGCAUGUGGUUUAAUUCGAAGCAACGCGAAGAACCUUACCAGGUCUUGACAUCCUCUGACAACCCUAGAGAUAGGGCUUCCCCUUCGGGG
rnacentral:rRNA from 1 species